GACGAACGCUGGCGGCGUGCCUAAUACAUGCAAGUCGAGCGAACUUGAUGGAGUGCUUGCACUCCUGAGAGUUAGCGGCGGACGGGUGAGUAACACGUAGGUAACCUGCCUCUAAGACUGGGAUAACCCACGGAAACGUGAGCUAAUACCGGAUAGGCGAGACUCCCGCAUGGGGGAUUCGAGUAAGGCGGAGCAAUCUGCCACUUACAGAUGGACCUGCGGCGCAUGAGCUAGUUGGUGAGGUAACGGCUCACCAAGGCGACGAUGCGUAGCCGACCUGAGAGGGUGAUCGGCCACACUGGGACUGAGACACGGCCCAGACUCCUACGGGAGGCAGCAGUAGGGAAUCUUCCGCAAUGGACGAAAGUCUGACGGAGCAACGCCGCGUGAGUGAUGAAGGCCUUCGGGUCGUAAAGCUCUGUUGCCAGGGAAGAAUGGCUUGGAGAGUAACUGCUCCAAGAGUGACGGUACCUGAGAAGAAAGCCCCGGCUAACUACGUGCCAGCCGCCGCCGUAAUAC
rnacentral:rRNA from 1 species